AUGUUUCAGCCAACACAGCAGCAGACACGUUACCGGAAAUCUCCUCAUGCUCCUUCCGAUGAAGAAGGUGGAAGUGUUCAAUCCGAGGAUGUAGCUUCCAAGGAGUAAGCAACACUCAAUCUUUUCAUGAUGUGCUGGUUAAUAUUCUGCUACCUCAAUAGCUCAGUAGGCAUCACAUUUCAUAUUGUUCAACAAAAAAUGCUGAUUAUGUAUUCAUAUUAGCAGAAGAAUGUUGUGUUUGACCUGCAAUUAUUAUGUGGACUUGGUACUAUGAUUUAUAUGUAUUUUUUUUCUUGAUUCCAGAAAAUAACGCAAUAAGAAUGAAAAAAUAGACAUUAAAAUUAGUAAGCUUUGGGUUUUGAACUCAGAUGUUUGAUUAUGAGAGUAUUACAAGUGCUUUCAUUUUUAUUUUUUAUAUACCUUAACUAGUAUCCUUU